AUUGAACGCUGGCGGCAGGCCUAACACAUGCAAGUCGAACGAGUGGCGGACGGGUGAGUAAUGUCUGGGAAACUGCCUGAUGGAGGGGGAUAACUACUGGAAACGGUAGCUAAUACCGCAUACCAUCGUAUGUGCCCAGGUGGGAUUAGCUAGUCGGUGGGGUAACGGCUCACCAAGGGGACGAUCCCUAGCUGGGCUGAGAGGAUGACCGGCCACACUGGAACUGAGACACGGUCCAGACUCCUACGGGAGGCAGCAGUGGGGAAUAUUGCGCAAUGGGCGAAAGCCUGAUCGAGCCAUGCCGCGUGAGUGAAGAAGGUCUUCGGAUUGUAAAGCACUGUAAGUUGGGAGGCGUUACCAACAGAAUAAGCACCGGCUAACUUCGUGCCAGCAGCCGCGGUAAUAC
rnacentral:rRNA from 1 species